CCGGAUUCCAACUCCUCCGCGGCGCGCCGCACUCUGGGCUCACGCGGCCCGCGGGCGACUUGGGCCCGGCUCUUAAAGGGGCCGCAGCGCUCCCGGCCCCGCCGCUCACUCGGCGGCGCCGAGCCGGGGCCGUGCGGGGCGAUAACUAAAGCCUGGGAGCCCUGCCCCCUCACUUGGUCUCUCCCUGGCUCUGAUCCUCUUGGACACACUCAGAGCUCUGGGGAACUGUAACGGCACCUGAGAGCUACCCCACCGGGGACUGACACCAGAUCUCACGGCACUCUCGAGGGAAGAGCUAGGAGACUGCAGAGCUACACCUUAAAAUGAGGGGAUUGGAGCAAUAUUCAAGGAGAGCUGGAACAGGUGCCUCUCGCCACGCCCACCAAAAACACCCCCAAGGAGUGGUGGCUCACAGGUACUGAGCUGCAGGGAUGGCCUGUUAGAAAUCAGUCUUAUGCACAGCAGGGCAUCUGCUCUCUGAAGCCCUGAGAUGCAAAACUGAAGGGAUUCUUGAGGACAACGUGGCAGUACAAUCGGUACUUUUACCGACUAAGACACCGAGUAUUCUCCCAAAGGUCACAACCCAGACCCAGGUAUGAUGGCAUAUGUUUACAUAUAUCGUUAUGAAAUGUGCCUUCUGUUGUGUGUUUGACAAAAAAAUGAGCACACUCAGGCUCAUGAUUUGGCAAGUGUGUAUUCAUCAUCAAUUAAAAUCGAUGUAUCUGGAAAGAAAAAUCCAACAAAUAAUAUCUGUAUCAUUCUUAGAUCACACAUCAAUGAACUCCUUUGAGCCUAUCAAGAAUCCUGAAAGGGGACUGGGGGAACACCAUAUGAUUCAGGUCCAGUACAGAAAACUGAAAACACAACUGAUCCCAAACAGAGAGAACUGAAUACAAGAAAUUGAUUACCCUGUUGAUGGAGGAGCUGAAAACAGGAAAUAGCAAGGCAACUAAGAGAUUAGCCACAGCAGGAAGCCGCUUCUUUCUCCAGGACUGGCUGGAUACCCGGAGGAGGGGGUGUCAGCAGAACCCAGAAGCUGAACAGCCUGGCAAAAGCUGGGAGCACAGAGAGGGGGGCUGUCCAGAGGAGACCUGGAACUAUAAAGAGUUGCCAUUGUGAAACAGACAAGAGAAGAGAGAAAGAAAUGAUGCCCAUAUCCCCUGGUUCCUUUCUCCAGCCCUCCGUGCUGCCGUCAGUGUCUCACACUAGCUGAACUAGCUGGAAGCCAGUGAACAAGAAAGGCAGGGAAGUAUCUGAGAGCAAAUAUAAUGGCUGGCUCAGGUCUUCCCUGGUGGGCUCCUACAGGGAUUCAUAAGUAGAGAUUUUAAUUCUUACUAACAUUUUAGAUUUAGGGAAAGCACUAAAAAUAUUUCCAAUUCAAUUUGGCAUAUUUAUAAAAAUAAAUUUUUACCCAGCUUAGACUAAAUUCAUGUUUUUCUUAAGAGAAAAUACAUUUUAACAGUGAAAUAGGAGCUUUUUCCUGAUUGCCAAAAUAUUAAUUUCCUUCAUUUAAGUAAUAAAAAAAUUCCUGCUCUUACUCAGUCAUCAAACUCAAAUUAAUUGUUUUGUCUAGAUAUGAUUACACAGGACUAUAAGCAGCAAAUCCAAAAAUCCUAUUAAUAUUGAAUGCUAAAGAUGUCUAACUACAAUGCUCUCUGGUAAUAUUUCAUUUAUUUUAUAUGCAGUAUAAUGGUAUACAGUAAUCCAUGGAUUCAUGAUAGAAGCUUUGAAAACUGAGUUUAAAGUUGUGAUUCCUUUGUAAAAAAUUAUUUGAGAAAACUAUUAAUACUCACCACGUGUGUACAUGAAUACUAAUAAGUAUACUGUUUAUUCCAAUACUAUCAGGAAACUUGACUUGAUUAGUGUUUUUCCUUCAAGAGUAUGUACAUUUUUGUUAAAAUUUUUUGCAAUUAUCCCCAAACUGCUUUUCAUAUAACCAAACUACAAAUAUAAUAAAGAAUAUAAAUAAGA